rnacentral:misc_RNA from 1 species
AACGCACAUUGCGCCCCUUGGUAUUCCGGGGGGCAUGCCUGUUCGAGCGUCAUUACACCCCUCAAGCCUGGCUUGGUCUUGGGCUCCGCCGUUCGUUCGGCGGGCCUUAAUAUCAGUGGCGGUGCCUCCGUGGCCCUGAGCGUAGUAAAUUUCCUCGCUUCUGGACCCGGUGGUCGCUGGCCAGCAACCCCUAACUUCUAAGUUUGACCUCGGAUCAGGUAGGGAUACCCGCUGAACUUAA